rnacentral:rRNA from 1 species
GGCUCAGAUUGAACGCUGGCGGCAUGCCUUACACAUGCAAGUCGAACGGCAGCACGGGAGCAAUCCUGGUGGCGAGUGGCGAACGGGUGAGUAAUAUAUCGGAACGUGCCCAGUAGUGGGGGAUAGCCCGGCGAAAGCCGGAUUAAUACCGCAUACGAUCUAUGGAUGAAAGCGGGGGAUCGCAAGACCUCGCGCGAUUGGAGCGGCCGAUAUCAGAUUAGGUAGUUGGUGGGGUAAAGGCUCACCAAGCCGACGAUCUGUAGCUGGUCUGAGAGGACGACCAGCCACACUGGGACUGAGACACGGCCCAGACUCCUACGGGAGGCAGCAGUGGGGAAUUUUGGACAAUGGGCGAAAGCCUGAUCCAGCCAUGCCGCGUGCAGGAUGAAGGCCUUCGGGUUGUAAACUGCUUUUGUACGGAACGAAAAGGUUUGACUUAAUACGUUGGACUCAUGACGGUACCGUAAGAAUAAGCACCGGCUAACUACGUG